AUUGAACGCUGGCGGCAUGCUUUACACAUGCAAGUCGAACGGCAGCACGGGGGCAACCCUGGUGGCGAGUGGCGAACGGGUGAGUAAUGCAUCGGAACGUAUCUUCAAGUGGGGGAUAACGCACCGAAAGGUGUGCUAAUACCGCAUAAUCUCUGAGGAGAAAAGCAGGGGAUCGCAAGACCUUGCGCUUUUAGAGCGGCCGAUGUCUGAUUAGCUAGNGGUGAGGUAAGGCUUACCAAGGCUUCGAUCAGUAGCUGGUCUGAGAGGACGACCAGCCACACUGGGACUGAGACACGGGCCCAGACUCCUACGGGAGGCAGCAGUGGGAAUUUUGGACAAUGGGGGAACCCUGAUCCAGCCAUGCCGCGUGAGUGAAGAAGGCC
rnacentral:rRNA from 1 species